GAAAUGCGAUAAGUAAUGUGAAUUUCGAUGAAGAACGCAGCGAAAUGCGAUAAGUAAUGUGAAUUGCAGAAUUCAGUGAAUCAUCGAAUCUUUGAACGCACAUUGCGCCCGCCAGUAUUCUGGCGGGCAUGCCUGUUCGAGCGUCAUUUCAAACCAUCAAGCCCCCGGGCUUGUGUUGGGGACCUGCGGCCGCCGCAGGCCCCGAAAAGCAGUGGCGGGCUCGCUGUCGCACCGAGCGUAGUAGCAAUCACCUCGCUCAGGGCGUGCCGCGGGUGCCGGCCGUUAAACGACCAACUUUAUACCCCCGAAGGUUGACCUCGGAUCAGGUAGGAAUACCCGCUGAACUUAA
rnacentral:misc_RNA from 1 species